GACGAACGCUGGCGGCGUGCUUAACACAUGCAAGUCGAACGGUAAGGCGCUUCGGGGUACACGAGUGGCGAACGGGUGAGUAACACGUGGGUGAUCUGCCCUGCACUUCGGGAUAAGCCUGGGAAACUGGGUCUAAUACCGGAUAGGACCACUGCCUGCAUGGGUGGUGGUGGAAAGCUUUUGCGGUGUGGGAUGGGCCCGCGGCCUAUCAGCUUGUUGGUGGGGUGAUGGCCUACCAAGGCGACGACGGGUAGCCGGCCUGAGAGGGUGACCGGACACACUGGGACUGAGAUACGGCCCAGACUCCUACGGGAGGCAGCAGUGGGAAUAUUGCACAAUGGGCGCAAGCCUGAUGCAGCGACGCCGCGUGAGGGAUGACGGCCUUCGGGUUGUAAACCUCUUUCAGCACCGACGAAGCGCAAGUGACGGUAGGUGCAGAAGAAGGACCGGCCAACUACGUGCCAGCCGCCGCGGUAAAAC
rnacentral:rRNA from 1 species